UGGUUAAAAGUAAUAAUGGAAAUUUUGGACUCACCUCACCUAUGAAAUAACAUCAUGUAAAGAAAUGGAUGGAAGGUGACCAGAAGUGAGAAGGCAGAGAAGGAAGAGCCACAUGACUGGAUUUCGGCUGUUUUGGGGGAAUUGAAAACAUUUGCACAGAUGGUCAUUUCUUCGUGGUCAGAGUAAUUCAGAUGGCCUUUAAGACAAAGCUGUCUAGAACAGUGGGAGCCCUUACUCUGAUUUGUCUGUGGAUUUCCACCACGCUAAGGGUACCACUCUCGGAUCAGCCAACAUCCAGUGACAUCCCAUGUUGGAGUCUGAAGGCCAAUUUGAAACAUCUUGAAGGACAAUAGUAGCUCUUGGUCUCACACUAAAGGAAGUGCCUUGAUUCUUCCCAAAGGAGUAGCAACUUCAGCUAGCGAGCAUUUGUUAAGCACCACUGAAAGCCUUUUUUUUUGGUGUUUCCCCCCAGAAAUUUAAAAGGUAAAUAACUAUACUUUUUUGUGUGGGUUGGGUAGUUGUCAAGUUUUUGCUUUCAACAAAAUUCAGAAGCAUCAAACUGCGUUUUUAGGUGAUAGGUAUUAAAAAGAAUUUCUGAUGAUAUUCAGUUUAACAUAUG